CCUUCAUGAAGCCGGAAUUGCUAGUAAUGGCAGGUCAGCAUACUGCCGUGAAUACGUUCCCCGGGGCCUUGUACACACCGCCCGUCACACCAUGAGAGUUGGGAAUACCCGAAGCCUGUGAGCUAACUUAGGAGGCAGCAGUCGAAGGUAGAAUCAAUGAUUGGGGUGAAGUCGUAACAAGGUAAC
rnacentral:rRNA from 1 species